rnacentral:rRNA from 1 species
UACGUAGAGGGCAAGCGUUGUCCGGAUUUAUUGGGCGUAAAGGGCUCGUAGGCGGUUUGUCGCGUCGGGAGUGAAAUCAUCUGGCUUAACUGGGUGCUUGCUUUCGAUACGGGCAGACUAGAGGUAUGCAGGGGAGAACGGAAUUCCUGGUGUAGCGGUGAAAUGCGCAGAUAUCAGGAGGAACACCGGUGGCGAAGGCGGUUCUCUGGGCAUGAUCUGACGCUGAGGAGCGAAAGUGUGGGGAGCGAACAGG